rnacentral:rRNA from 1 species
GACGUAGGGGGCCAGCGUUGUUCGGAAUUACUGGGUGUAAAGGGUUCGUAGGCGGUGCGGCAAGUCGGGAGUGAAAUCUCUGGGCUUAACCCAGAGGCUGCUUCCGAAACUGCUGUGCUUGAGUGUGGGAGAGGCGCGUGGAAUUGCAGGUGUAGCGGUGAAAUGCGUAGAUAUCUGCAGGAACACCCGUGGCGAAAGCGGCGCGCUG